UAAACUACGAUUAGAUACCCUAUUAUUUUAAAUGUAAAAUUAUAAAGCUUGGGUAGUAUUAGAUAUGUUCUUGAAACUCAAAGAAUUUGGCGGUGUUUUAGUCCUUUCAGAGGAACCUGUUCCGUAAUCGAUAGUCCACGUUUUACCUUACUUAAUUUUGUUUUCAGCUUGUAUACCGCCGUCGUCAGAAUGUCCUUGGAGGGGGAAAUUUUCUUGCUCUUCAAAUAGGGGUGAUGUCAGGUCAAGGUGCAGCUUAUGGUUAAGUGGAAAUGGGUUACAAUAAAAAUAUUUAAAUGGAUAGUGAGAGGAAGAUUUUGCUUGAAGGUGGAUUUGAUUGUAAUAAGUUUAAUAAAGAUAAUUUGAUUUUGGCUCUAAAACAUGCACACAUCGCCCGUCGCUCUUA
rnacentral:rRNA from 1 species